CCUUUCCUUUCCUUUCUUUUCCUUCUUUCUCUUCCUCUUCCUCCUCUGUUCCUUCCUUUUUUCUUUCCUCCUCUUCCGUGUACUUUCUCUCAAAUUCUUUCUUCCUCCUCCACUUUCUUUACCUGUUCCUUCUCUUUCCCUUCCUUUCCUUUCAUUUCAUUUCCUUCUCUCUCUUCCUCUUCCUCUUCUAUUCCUUCCUUUUUUCUUUCCUCCUCUUCCGUCUACUUUCUCUCCAGUUCUUUCUUCCUCCUUCUCUUUCCUUUCCUUUCCUCUCCUUUUCUUCUCUCUCUUCCUCUCUCACCUGGUCACUCUUUCUUCCUCUUACUCCUCUUUUCCUUCCUUUUUUUCUUUCUUUCUCUCCAGUUCUUUCUUCCUCUUCCUCUUUCUUUACCUGUUCCUUCUCCUUCCUUUCCUUUCCUUCUCUCUUUUACUCUCUCAACUGUUCACUCUUUCUUCCUCUUCCUCCUCAAUUAUUUCUUCUUUUUCUUUCCUCCUUUUCCGUCAACUCUCUUCCUUCCUCUUAAGUGCUCAACCGUAUGAAGAACAACUCAGGUGACUAAAUCUUUUUUCGCUGGAACACGGACGUUUAACAGGAGAUUCAAUUCAGGUGUUCAAUUAUCUCAGGAAGUUCAAUAACGUCGAUCACUCUAACGUCUUUCAAUUACAAAGCAGCACAAGAACUAGAAAUAACGGUCUACCAGUUCAAGCCAGGCGAUGCAGUACGGAUAGGAGUUUCUUAUCACCCCGAGUCAUCCGCCACUGGAACAACCUCCCUUCAGUAGUAGUAAAAGCGAAUACCUUCACCUCUUUUAAAAAUCGAAUCGACCGUCCACCAAAAUUAUUCAAGCAAGGCAAGGCAGUACGGACAGGAGUUUCUUAUCACCCCGAGUCAUCCGCCACUGGAACAACCUCCCUUCAGAAGUAGUAAAUGCGAAUACCUUCACCUCAUUUAAGAAUCGAAUCGACCGUCCACCAAAAUUAUUCAAGCAAGGCGAGGCAGUACGGACAGGAGUUUCUUAUCACCCCGAGUCAUCCGCCACUGGAACAACCUCCCUUCAGAAGUAGUAAAAGCGAAUACCUUCACCUCUUUUAAAAAUCGAAUCGACCGUUUUUUCUUUGCGUCAGGAGUAAACUGAAUAUCGAAUUGCUUUCAUCUACUCUGCGGGACCACCAAGCGACUGUCGAGCAGAUUAGGGCAACCUCGUAUGAGCCAAUAAGCUUUCUGUUGCCUGCAUUUCCACGUUUUCAUGCUUCUCCAGCUUUUCCUCAACUAUCCAUCCCUUUCCAAUAUCUCCUUUUUUUCUUCUUCUCCAUCUCCUCUUCUUCUAUCCUUCCAAAGAAUUAAAAUAAGAUAAUAUGAAGUACAAAUUUAAAAGAGCAUAAUGGGAGUAAUAAUAAUAAUAAUAAUAAUAAUAAUAAUAAUAAUAAUAAUAAUAAUAAAAAGAAGAAGAAGAAGAGAAGAAGUGUCGAAAGAAGAAUAUAGAAAAAAAAAAAAAAACCUACAAACUGAAGUCAAGGUUAUGAUCUGCUGUGAGUGUGUGUGUGUGUAUGUGCGUGUGUGUAUAUGUGUGUGUGUGUGUGUGUGUGUGUGUGUGUAGAGUGGUGUGUCAGUGUAUGUGUGCGCGCGGUGCUGUGAGAAAGGAGAAAAAGAGAGAGAUAGAGAGACAAUGAGAUAAGGAAGAGAGAAAAAGGAGAUAAAAGAGAGAGAGAGAGAGAGAGAGAGAGAGAGAGAGAGAGAGAGAGAGAGAGAGAGAGAGAGAGAGAGAGAGAGAGAGAGAGAGAGAGAGAGAGAGAGAGAGAGAGAGAGAGAGA